GUUUCCCCUCCAGCUGUGAACCCUGGUCUUUCUAUACAAUUUUCCCAUGCCUUCCCAUGCUGCGCCCCUCUACAUAUGCAUACAUUCAUAUACACACAGUUGGAUAAGCGCAGAAGGAUCGGUAAGGAAGGGUGAAAGUAGAAAUGAGGAGGGGCAGGUUUGUAGGAGUAGGAAGGGCGCUCCAGUUACUUGGUUCUACCUUCUACCCACGCUCCUGACCCACAAGAAAUUGAGUGGAGGCACCACUUCCUGUCAUAUUCAUGUCAUUUAGCAGCCUCUGUCGAUUGCUUGAUAGUGCUUAUUUCCUAUUUUUCCUUUUUUAUCACACGUCAGCCAUAAUUCUUCGAUGAAGUUAACUGCGAAACUUAUAACCAUCGAUAGGAAACAAGAUAAAUAUUCUGCACUAAUGCAAAAUUAUUGUUACGUACAUAUCGUACAUUCUUAUAAUUUCCCAAAUUUUUUACUUUGAGUAAAUAUAAGAAUAGAAAAUACAAGGAUAGGACAAUAUUUUAUUAAAAACAAAUGAACUGUAAAAAUACAAACAAAUUAGUCUUGCUUUUUAUUUUAAUUUCUGUAAAUGUGUUUUGUCCAAGUUGAACAAAAUUUUAUGUAAACGAUGAAACUUGUAUAUUCUAGUAAAAUUCAGAGCUAUAAUUCGUUAAAAGGUAAUUAAUGGAAUGGAAACUACACUGACUUUAACUAUACUAAUUUAACUAUGUUAAAAGUAGAAUGUCCCGUAAUCGUUUUGAAUCGCUAUUAGUAAACUUGCAUUUUGCAAAUAACGAAACUAUAGAACAGAAAAGCAGACUUGGAAAAGUUUUACCACUUAUAAACAUAUUGAUAGAUAAUUACCAAAAAAUUUUUUCACCAGGCAAAGAUAUUGUAGUCGACGAAUCAAUGGUUCCUUGGAGAGGACGACUAACAUUCCGGGAAUACAUACCGACGAAAUCACAUAAGUAUGGUAUAAAACUAUUCAAACUGUGUUCCACCGAAGGUUACGCAUGGUCUGCAAAAGUAUAUUACGGACGAGAUAUCACUGGAAGUAAGCAAGUUGGCAUAGUUGAAAACGUCUGCAUUGAACUUGCAGAUAAAUUGCUAAAUGAAGGACGAAC